UACAGAGGGUGCAAGCGUUAAUCGGAAUUACUGGGCGUAAAGCGUGCGCAGACGGUUGCGUAAGUCGGAUGUGAAAGCCCCGGGCUCAACCUGGGAAUGGCAAUGGAUACUGGCAGGCUAGAGUGCGGUAGAGGGUAGUGGAAUUCCCGGUGUAGCGGUGAAAUGCGUAGAGAUCGGGAGGAACACCAGUGGCGAAGGCGGCUACCUGGACCAGCACUGACACUGAGGCACGAAAGCGUGGGGAGCAAACAGGG
rnacentral:rRNA from 1 species